GACGAACGCUGGCGGCGUGCUUAACACAUGCAAGUCGAACGGAAAGGCCCUGCUUUUGUGGGGUGCUCGAGUGGCGAACGGGUGAGUAACACGUGAGUAACCUGCCCUUGACUUUGGGAUAACUUCAGGAAACUGGGGCUAAUACCGGAUAGGAGCUCCUGCUGCAUGGUGUGGGUUGGAAAGUUUCGGCGGUUGGGGAUGGACUCGCGGCUUAUUAGCUUGUUGGUGGGGUAGUGGCUUACCAAGGCUUUGACGGGUAGCCGGCCUGAGAGGGUGACCGGCCACAUUGGGACUGAGAUACGGCCCAGACUCCUACGGGAGGCAGCAGUGGGGAAUAUUGCACAAUGGGCGGAAGCCUGAUGCAGCAACGCCGCGUGCGGGAUGACGGCCUUCGGGUUGUAAACCGCUUUCGCCUGUGACGAAGCGUGAGUGACGGUAAUGGGUAAAGAAGCACCGGCUAACUACGUG
rnacentral:rRNA from 1 species